AUCCCCCUUCUCCUUUGGCAUGCUGGCUGAAGGCGUCUCCGCUGUGGGCUGCCUCUCACUGUACUGUUUGCUCCAGAACCAGGGUAUUAUGAGGACGGGGCCUUCGGGAUCCGCAUCGAGAACGUUGUUCUGGUGGUUCCUGUGAAGACCAAGUAUAAUUUCAAUAACCGAGGAAGCCUGACCUUUGAACCUCUAACUUUGGUUCCCAUCCAGACCAAAAUGAUAGAUGUGGAUUCUCUUACAGAUAAAGAGGAAGCAUUAAGGAGGCAAGAAGCACAGUCUGUCAUGUGCUCAGUUUCUCACAGAUGAGUGAGGCCAUCCCGGUCUACGGCUGUGGUCACCUUGUGUGGCACAGCAGGGUUCACUUUCCAAGCUCCCAGCGCUAGACACAUCCAAACCCUCCAAGUGCUCCAGCAAGUCCCCAGCCGUAUGCCAGAGAAGGUGGCAGGCCAAGGUACCUGGAGUAAUGACUGAGCGAUCAGGCAGGGGAUUAAGGUCAGGGAAGAAAGUAGGACCUGGAAAGGGCAGGAACAAUUCGCUAGUCAGAGACAGAGCAGGUUUUCAUCUAGGAAGUGGGAAACCAGGACACAAGCUCCACGGCAAGGUAGAAGUCCCAGCGAAAAGCUGGUGACUCGUGGGGACAUAGGCCGGAAAAGACACUGUAGGAAUGACCUCUGGCCCCUCCCCAGGGCGUUGGUGCACUCUUAAAUGCAGGGCGAUCGUCACUGGGGUCAUCUUGGGUGUCCAGGGUACUCGAUGUCCAGGGAGGCUGUAGAGUGGGGUUCACCCACCUAGAAGCCUCUGUGCCUUUCAUUUAACAUGUGGGUCACUGGGGAAGCUCACCUACUUCCUGUGUGCUUGGGCACACCUCUCUGAUCAUGGUGCCUGUGGUGCAGCCAGCAUUUGUGUUCAUAGAACACUAAAGGGGCCUGGCCAUCCUUGUUUAUUCAUAUUGUACAUAGAUUUAGAACAGGACGCUCGGCCUUACCGCCAUCUAGUGUCCCAUGUCUCUUCAGUGGGCAGACUCCUGUCUGCAGCUCAGGAGCCCCUCUCCACCCCACCAGAAUGACGCUGGGGGAGCAGGGGAGCACGGGCACACAGUGGCGUGAGAGCCCCC